rnacentral:lncRNA from 1 species
CAAAAGGGGGCAAGAUUGACAUGAAUGACGUACAUCAUGAAAUCAGUUUGGUUUUGACAACGUGUAACGAUGCUUCAAAAGCGAGGUUUAAGUUUGCCAUGCGUGAAACGGUUCUGCAGGAAAACCAGGUUUGUAUCCGCCCUCCCUUGUAAGUUGUAUCUUAAAAAGGAGUCAUGUUUGUAUAGAGCCUAGGCUCUCUAAACCAUCAAAUUAGAGCGUGCCUUCAAUAUUGGAAAUGAAAUUAGC